UUUAUACGUCGAAUUUUGAUCGCGUCGAAUGCAAUUAAGACAAUAGAUAAUGAGAUGAUAACCCUCAUUACGCUUUAUUAUCUAUUGUUUGAAUUGCAUUCGACGCGACCGAAAUUCGACGUAUAAA
rnacentral:miRNA from 1 species